GUGGUUCCCUCAGAUGGAGGGCUGGAGACUGGACGCAGAAAGUAGAGGAUUCUGGACGAAGAGGUGUCUAAGGUAAAGAAGUUUCUGGAGAGUGAGGUUCAUAUUCUCCAGGAAGAAGAGAUCAAGAAACUCAUAGAGGGAGGUGCAACCGGACUACACAACGGUCCCCAAGUUCAUCGAGCCA